rnacentral:lncRNA from 1 species
ACGCCGGAGGCGGACAGGGCUGCCGCGGCGGCGGCGGCGGCGGCGGCGGAGAAGGCGGCGUGCGAGUGGAGCGAGGCGGAGGAGCGGGGCGCGCGGGCCGCAAGGUCGAGCAGGAGCGCGAUGCCGACCGCCAUGGACGCGGGAUCUCGCGGCGAGCGAGAGGUAGGGGGCCUGUCGGAUUCGCCGGCUCGUGCCGCGUCAGUACCGACGACGACGGAGGUGGCUGCCGGUAUGGGCUGGGCUUGGUCGGGCCCUUGGCGCGACCUGGCCUCCCCGUUUUAUAUUGAGCAGGUGAGUGGGUCGCCUAGUCGAAUUACAAAACACUUUCCGCAUCGAAUUACAACCCCUUCCUUAAGAAAAGCUGAAUGUAUUUCUCAAAAAGAAAAAGCCGAAUGUUUCUCAAAAAAUAAAAAUAAAAGACGAAUCACAGCCCGGAGGCGAAGCAGAUCAAGGUUUAUAUAGCUUGGCACUUGACAAAGAACCAUGUUUUCUUUUCUUUUCUUGUGGGAAAAAGAAUGGUGUUUUUUUGUGAAAGUGUUUUCAGUGUUCGACAAUGGGAGAACUGUUAUUUACAGGCAAGUUUAAACUUAUCACGUCAUAGUGGAUCCUUUCCGCAUCUUAUUUAAACAAACUAGUAAAUGCGCACGUGCAAUACACGUUAGUAUUUAGGCAAUUUAUUAAUGGCAUACGGAUAUAUUAGCUAUGUUAUUAUUUGUGUGUUAAUUUUAUAAUUAGUGCAAUAUUUGGUAUAAUAUUAAUUGCACGUUAAACACGUUGAAUCCUCGCCAUUGAAGCAGUCUAGGUUAUUGGAUCGACUUAGUUUGAUGGUCGAGAUCAGUUGGAUCUGCCCCUUUGGAUCCUUUUAUAUUGGUAUAGAUUUAGAUAUAGACUAGCAAAAGUGCCCGUGCGUUGCAACGGGGACAUGAAUAAGCAAAUGUGCUUCAAACGGCAGAUCUACAAAGCUUUGCAUUGCGAAAAUCAAUGGCGGUAGUUGUGGAUCGAUGAGCGGUUGCUUGAAGGAAAACUUUGGCAUCGAGGGUUAUUUGAUGGUUCGCUCGAAAGGGAUAUGUGAUGUAAUGGAGCAUUCCGGUGUUGUUGUAAGAAUAUAAUGAGCAUUAACCAGUGGUUAGAUCGACAAAGGGGGGGUCGAACUAACCCGAAGAAUGGCCGCGCGGAGAGUGGUACGCCGGAGGCGGACAAGGCUGCCGCGGCGGCGGCGGCGGCGGCAGCGGCGGAGAAGGCGGCGUGCGAGUGGAGCGAGGCGGAGGAGCGGGGCGCACGGGCCGCAAGGUCGAGCAGGAGCACGAUGCCGACCACCAUGGACGCGGGAUCUCGCAGCGAGCGAGAGGUCGGGGGCCUCUUGGAUUCGCCGGCUCGUGCCGCGUCAGUAGCGACGACGACGGAGGUGGCUGCCGGUAUGGGCUGGG